rnacentral:sRNA from 1 species
UGCUAAGACAGUAGAUCUUAAAUGUUCUCAUCACAUAAAAAGAUAAUUAUGUGAGGUGAUAGGUAUGCUAAUAGCUUGACUAUAAUCAUUUUACAAUGUAUACAUAUAUCAAAAUAUCACACUGUAAAUAUAUACAAUGUUUUUCAAUUAUACCUCAAUAAAGUGGGAUAAAAAAUAGUCACAAAGUGUACAUCAAUAGUGCUGUAAUUCUUACAAUUCUUUUUUUUUUUUCUGAGACAGUGUCUCACUUUGUCUCACAGGCUGGAGUGCAGUGGGGUGAUCACGACUCACUGCAGUCUCUACCUCCUCAGGCUCAUGAGAUCCUCCCACCUCAGCCUCCCGAGUAGCUGGGACUACAGAGCGCAAAGCAUGCCUGUUUUUAAGGAAGUAAAGGUACAUCUGUUAGAAGAUGCAGGCAUAGAGAAGGAUGCUGUUACUCAGGAGACUAGAAUUUCACCCAGUGGAAUUGAUUCAGCUACAACCGUGGCUGCAGCAACUGCUGCUGCCAUUGCAACCGCAGCUCCAUUGAUAAAGGUGCAGAGUGAUUUGGAAGCAAAAGUCAAUUCUGUUACAGAAUUACUUAGUAAAUUACAGGAGACUGAUAAACACCUACAACGUGUUACAGAGC